rnacentral:rRNA from 1 species
AGUAAAAGUCGUAACAAGGUUUCCGUAGGUGAACCUGCGGAAGGAUCAUUAAAGAGUAAGGGUCUCUGGCCCGAACCUCCAACCCUCUGUUGUUAUAACUACUUCGUUGCUUUGGCGGGACCGCGAAGGUUCUCCCGAGCGCGCCAGUCUCCGGACAGGCGAGCGCCCGCCAGAGUCUAACCAAACUCUUGUUUUAAACCAGUCGUCUGAGUAUAAAAUUUUAAUUAAAUUAAAACUUUCAACAACGGAUCUCUUGGUUCUCGCAUCGAUGAAGAACGCAGCGAAAUGCGAUAAGUAAUGUGAAUUGCAGAAUUCAGUGAAUCAUCGAAUCUUUGAACGCACAUUGCGCCCCUUGGUAUUCCGAGGGGCAUGCCUGUUCGAGCGUCAUUACACCACUCAAGCACCGCUUGGUAUUGGGCAUCGUCCGUCGAAAGGCGGGCGUGCCUCGAAGACCUCGGCGGGGUUUCUCCAACUUCGGGCGUAGUAGAGUUAAAUCAAAACGUCUUAUAAGCUUGGCGAGAUCUCAUUGCCGUUAAACCUUUUAUUUUUUCAGGUUGACCUCGGAUCAGGUAGGGAUACCCGCUGAACUUAAGCAUAUCAAUAAGCGGAGGA